UACGGAGGAUCCAAGCGUUAUCCGGAUUUAUUGGGUUUAAAGGGUGCGUAGGCGGCUUAUUAAGUCAGGGGUGAAAGACGGUGGCUCAACCAUCGCAGUGCCCUUGAUACUGAUGAGCUUGAAUACACUUGAGGUAGGCGGAAUGUGACAAGUAGCGGUGAAAUGCAUAGAUAAGUCACAGAACACCAAUUGCGAAGGCAGCUUACUAAGGUGCAAUUGACGCUGAGGCACGAAAGCGUGGGGAUCAAACAGG
rnacentral:rRNA from 1 species